UGCUACUUUUGUAUGCUAAUGGAAACUUCAGGAGCCAUUUUCUCUUCCUUCUGAGAGCAGAUGAAUGAGCUCUGUGGGCCUUGUAACAUGGUGUGAUCAGCUGAAGUACUAAAGACUCCAGAACUGCAAGAACGAAGAACUGGGAGAAGCUGCCAGUGAGAGCUGCUCACAGGGAAAGGCAAUGGCUGUUUACCUGUGCUGCUUAGCCAGGCUGUGGAGGACAGAUGGGGUCCCAACAUUCAGAUUCCAAUUUCACAUUGCAUAUUUUGCUCACUGUGGGAACAUACGGCAUGAAUGUGGAGCAGCGGUCACAUCUUUGCUCACUGCUUUUUUGACCCACUUGUGUUCUCUGACAGAAGACAGUGACAUGACAUGAAAGAUAGCACAAGGCUCUUAUUGUUACAUUCAAUAAUUGAUUCUUCUGAAUGGAUUGUGACUUCCUAAAGGUCCCCAGAGAGAGAGUAUCAGGUGAGGAAGGAUGGCAGCAGCUCCUGGGAGAGCCUUCUCUGCAUCUACCGCUCUUCUGCAAGGCCCAAGAGAAUCCCGGUUUUGAAAUACAGAGGGGAGCAGAACUCAUCCAGCAGCCUUUGCCGUGUUGUGGACAUGCACAGUCCGUUUCUUCUGGAAGAACUCGGUGGAGUGGCUUGAAAGUGUUUGUGUUUUGAAGAGGUCAGAACUGCUCCUCGCUAGAUUGUUGUCAGUCAGCAUGACAGCCAGGAAGUUCUGCUGGAGAAAUACUUUGAGCGAUAGCGUAGUGGAAAGCAGAGCUGAACGCAUGCACGCUAGACUCACCUUUUCCUGUUUCUGCAAGAUACCACUUUAAAAUUAGGUGAGAUGCAUUGAUUUGAGAAAGCCAGGAGCAGGCGCCAAAGGAGACGGAAGAGGAGAUGCUGCUUUCUCUCUUACAGAGCUGUUUACUGACCAGCUAUUAUUUUCAUCCUUUAUAUUACCGAGAAAUUCAUACAUUGUAUUUGCCUUUUGUGUACAGCUCUCAACAAGUAUGUCUUUGUCAGCUUUACAAAGGGCUAUAAACUCUGUGUUGCAAAUAAGCCUCAGUAACUGCUGGACAUUAUGACUAAUUGUAAUGCAGCAUAUAUCCUUGAGGACUAUAAACCUAUAUUAAAAGACAAUGGUUGAGAGAAAAGCUAUUGAAUUGAGAUAGCACUCAUGUAACCCCAUGGGGGCUCAACAGACAACAAGGAGGCCAUUGAUACAAGCUCUAAUACAAAAAGCCACAUAGACAGAAAGCCAUCCAAACCAGUAUGGUGUGUGGAUGACCACAUAGUUCAGUUUAAUGCUGCUUUUGUUUUGCUCUCACUUAGAGGCAGACAACACACACUGGAACAUCAGAAUUAGUUCUGUUUAGAUUGCUGCAGACAGAACAAAGGGGCAAACCAGAAAAUUAAUGGAACAGUGCCCCUCUCACCUUCUCUUGUUGUGCACUAAUGCUUCUGAAAUCUGUCCCAGGGUAAAUUUUCUAAUGCAAGUGAAAGAAAGCAGACUAUUGUUGGGUUGCUUUUGGUUUUAGUUUGGUUUUGUUUGUAUUUAAAAGGAAAAAAAAACCAACAACAACAAACCACUGAGCAGUGUCAAAGCUGUUUGAUUUUGUUGGAAUUCUUUUCUAUCUCCCCUUUUUUUUUUUUCUUCUUCUCGCAUGUCCUAAAUAAGUCUGGAUCUCCUGAAACCAUCAUUUGACGUUAAAAUAUAAGCAGUCAGUGUUUAAAAUGCAUUGCCAUUGAGACCUGAAUUGAAUCAGGGCUUGGGAUUUCAGCUUGAGGAAUCCUGGUCUUGGCAUGUCUCUCUUGGGCUGCUUGUAUCCUAUGUUUGGUUUCAUUUCUGUACCUCUGUAUUGUAUCGGGCACUGAAUGAGCUGCACUAAAAAUUGUUUCCCAUUCUGCAGUGGUCAUUUUCUUCCUUUGUAUGGCUACAAUUACUUGGAUUGUAACCUGUGUCUCUGAAUGCACAAACCCACAAAUCUUUUCCUGAGACCACUCUGAGAUACAUCUGAUUCUUGAAUUUAUGUUUAUCUCAGUCUUUGUUCCAAUGCAAGGAACAAGAGCUUCCCUGUAAUUUAAA